CUCCCGCAUCCCAAGUUCAGAGAAAAAAAAACUCCCACAACAGAUCGUAGUUAUAGGGUUUUCACACACUCAUCUCCCCAUCAGCCCGACUGAUCCAUCCCCUCACCAUGACGGAGAACGGCGGCAAGACGUGACAGCCGCACCGUCACCUAGAGCGGCCCACGCAUCCGGCGGAAGACGUGGUAGCGCCCGCCACCAUGACCACCCCGCGUUGAUGGCGGCCGAGGCAGAGGCGAAGAGCCUGAACGAGGCUGAGCCGGAUAUUGAGGAGGAGGAGGAGGAGGAGGAGGCCGAGGGGGACGGGCAGCACAAGCACGACGUGGGCGGCGGCAAAGAGGAGGCGGGUAUGCCGCGUCUACUGCAGGGUCUACAGCAGGCGUAGCGCCGUACGCACAUGGGUGUCGCCUUCCUCCGUGUAGUUCAGCUGCUGUCCGCGUUCCCUUCUCUCAGAUCCCGCUGCUUCCCUCCUGGAUAUGGCGGCCACCUGGUGCCUCAUGGACGAUGCUAUCGGUGAACCCAUCAGUUCUGAUAUUAUUCUUUUGUGUGUCACUACCAGCAGCAGAGAAGAUUUUGUGUUGAAAAAGACAGGUACACCCUUGCUUUAUAGGUUCGUAUAACAAAAUUAUUUUGGAUUUUUUUCUUACAACAUAAUUGUUCCUUAGUUCAUAGGUUUAUAUAGUGGUCCACAAAACUUUCUGGGAGACGAUUGCUUUUUAUUUGGCUAUCCAUCUGUUUAUUUGUUUUCCCAAUUUCAGAGGUAGGAAACAGUCUUGCAUGCAUUUUCUACAAUUCAAUGGUAAAUAUGGUAGAACCUCUCAACCUCAUGCUUAUAUGAAUAUGAGACAACUCAAUCCUGCCUUCCAUUGUCCAGUAUGCUGAACAGAUGGAAAAUUUGGGUCUGCAUAGCUAUUCAGACAAGUGGCAAGGACAUGUAUUACGAAUCUCUUUUCCUAGCAUUAUCUUUUACUCCAUAUCCAAUAACUUAUACACUAUCAGUUAUUGACUAAGAGAUUAAUCUUCACUUAUAAUACACACACAAGUCUGUACUUAUGUUUUUGUGUUGACUUUACAUGGAAGUGUAUAAUGAUUUGCUCUUCCUAUGUCAACUAUCUGACAAGCAGAUGUCAGAUGUUCAUGGUUAACACUUACAGUAUUACACACUAUUGUGUAAAUAGUCAUGAAUUCAUAUCCAACCGCAGCUAACAUGGCAUUUGGAAGGUUUGAUUUUAUAAAACCUUCAAAAGUAUGACCAUAUUUUUAUGGUCGUAGCAAUAUUUUUAUCGAGGUCAGUAUGUUCAUGCCACGCCCAACCAGUUGUCAUGGUUUAGAUGGUUCAACAGAAUAUUGAUUCUAUGGCUGUUGAGAUUGUUCUCCUAUUGGUCGUCUCUCUUGCUUGGUACUGUACUGUGCACUGUCGUUUUCGGUGUCUCUUUGUCUCAAUGUGCUUUCUCGGACGUGGAUGCUCGAUGGAGAGAGAUUUGCCUGGGCAAGUGCCCGAUUGCCGAUAUGUCUGAUUGUAUUGCUUCCCUUCAUCUUUAUUUCUACGAUAUGUAUACUUGCUAAUCCCGUAUUUUCUCAUGGGCAGUUUAAAGUUGUAGUUUCGAGGGUAACAUCAACGAAAGAGUUGAAUAUAUUUGGGAUAGAUGAAACUGGUGCACCAUCUAUGGAGACAAGUUAUAUCAAAGAAGUGCUUGAACACCUCCAAAAAUGUUGCCUGCAAUCUACCGUUCCAUGUCUAAUUAGUCAUAUACUUCCAUUUUCAAUAUGUAUACUGUACACUCACUUAACUAAUGUCUUCUCCUACUCUUUCAUUCCCAGAGUUCUAUUUUGUGCAGACGGAGCCAGAUGUGCCAGUUCUACCCCUAAGGCCCCAACUGAGUAGUACUGUGUUAGACUGAAGUUUGCAGAUAGCUCUGAAAUGCGGGCAUCAUCAGUAAUUUGUACUGAAGUAUUUUAUAAUGGCACAUUUUGUCAGUACAAACGUUUUGCUGUAUAAUCGGUCUAAGUUGAUCAUCCACAUCUUAUAGUGAUUGCGCAGAUGAUCAGCCUCACUAAAUACUGAGGUCUGUUGUACCACAGCGGAUCGACCUACCUUAGUAAAUGAUGUUUGCCUUGGACGAGAUUACUGAAUCAUCGACUGAAUAUAAUCUGAUCUGCUGCUAUGUCAGAGGAGGAAAGGAUGAUGGUUUCUUCCGACGGGAUUUGAUCACUAGAAAUUUUAGUUGUACUAGACUAGGACAUAUUGUAAUCUUCUAUGUACUAUUUACGUCUGGCUACUCCAUGGACUAUGUAUAAGAUCUCGAUAAAUAUUUGUGCCACUGGCUAAUUCGUGCUA